UACGAAGGGUGCUAGCGUUGUUCGGAAUCACUGGGCGUAAAGCGUGCGUAGGCGGCUUUGCAAGCCAGAGGUGAAAGCCUGGAGCUUAACUCCAGAACUGCCUUUGGAACUGCAUGGCUGGAGUGUCGGAGGGGAUGGGGGAAUUCCUAAUGUAGCGGUGAAAUGCGUAGAUAUUAGGAGGAACACCGGUGGCGAAGGCGCCUAUCUGGACGACAACUGACGCUGAGGCACGAAAGCGUGGGGAUCAAACAGG
rnacentral:rRNA from 1 species